UUUACCCUACGGGGGGCAGCAGUGGGGAAUAUUGCACAAUGGGGGAAACCCUGAUGCAGCAACGCCGCGUGAGUGAAGAAGUCAUUCGUGAUGUAAAGCUCUAUCAGCAGGGAAGAAAAUGACGGUACCUGAGUAAGAAGCACCGGCUAACUCCGUGCCAGCAGCCGCGGUAAUACGGAGGGUGCGAGCGUUAAUCGGAAUCACUGGGCGUAAAGCGCGCGUAGGCGGCUUUUCAAGUCAGGGGUGAAAUCCCACGGCCCAACCGUGGAACUGCCUUUGAAACUGUAGAGCUUGAGUGUCGGAGG
rnacentral:rRNA from 1 species